rnacentral:tRNA from 1 species
UCUGUUGUAGUCUAGUUGGUUAGGAUUCACGGCUCUCACCCGAGCGACCUUGGUUCAAGUCCCGACAACAGAA